UACGUAGGGGGCAAGCGUUGUCCGGAUUUAUUGGGCGUAAAGAGCGUGUAGGCGGUUAUGCAGGUCCGCUGUGAAAACUGGAGGCUUAACCUCCAGACGUCGGUGGAAACCGUAUGACUAGAGUCCGGAAGAGGAGAGUGGAAUUCCUGGUGUAGCGGUGAAAUGCGCAGAUAUCAGGAAGAACACCCGUGGCGAAGGCGGGUCUCUGGGCCGAUACUGACGCUGAGGAGCGAAAGCGUGGGGAGCGAACAGG
rnacentral:rRNA from 1 species